CCACUUUUAACCGGGGACCCCUUGGGUUUGGCCCCGAUAAAAAACCCAACAAACUGGCAAACCGAAUGGGAAUUGCAGGCGCGUGAAUCAUCUAAUCUUUGAACGCAAAUUGCGCCCUCGGUUUGAAGCCGGGGGCACGUCUGUCUGAGCGUCCGUU
rnacentral:rRNA from 1 species